rnacentral:rRNA from 1 species
CAGUAGCCACGGUAAAACGGAGGUCCCGAGCGUUGUCCGGAUUUAUUGGGCGUAAAGCGAGCGCAGGCGGUUAGAUAAGUCUGAAGUUAAAGGCUGUGGCUUAACCAUAGUAUGCUUUGGAAACUGUUUAACUUGAGUGCAGAAGGGGAGAGUGGAAUUCCAUGUGUAGCGGUGAAAUGCGUAGAUAUAUGGAGGAACACCGGUGGCGAAAACGGCUCUCCGGUCUGUAACUGACGCUGAGGCUCGAAAGCGUGGGGAGCAAACAGGAUUAGAGACCCCCGUAGUCCCUGUCUCUUAUACA